CCCUUAGAUGUCCGGGGCUGCACGCGCGCUACACUGAAGGAAUCAGCGUGCUAAAACCAUUGUCGAAAGGCAUUGGUAAACCCAUUAAAAUCCUACGUGAUUGGGAUCGGGAAUUGCAAUUAUUUCCCUUGAACGAGGAAUUCCCAGUAAGUGUGGGUCAUAAGCUCGCGUUGAUUACGUCCCUGCCCUUUGUACACACCGCCCGUCGCUGCCCGGGACUGAGCCGUUUCGAGAAAAGCGGGGACUGCUGCUGUCGGGGCUUUCGGGCCUUGGCUUCGGUGGAAACCGCUUUAAUCGCANUNGCUUGANCCGGGCAAAANUCGUANCG
rnacentral:rRNA from 1 species